rnacentral:rRNA from 1 species
UGGGGAAUCUUGCACAAUGGGCGAAAGCCUGAUGCAGCAACGCCGCGUGCGGGAAGAAGGCCCUCGGGUUGUAAACCGCUUUCAGAAGGAACGAAACUGACGGUACUUUCAGAAGAAGGUGCGGCCAACUACGUGCCAGCAGCCGCGGUGACACGUAGGCACCAAGCGUUGUCCGGAUUUAUUGGGCGUAAAGAGCUCGUAGGCGGUUCAGUAAGUCGGGUGUGAAAACUUUGGGCUUAACCCAAAGCGUGCAUCCGAUACUGCUGUGACUUGAGUACGGUAGGGGAGCGGGGAAUUCCUAGUGUAGCGGUGAAAUGCGCAGAUAUUAGGAGGAACACCGGUGGCGAAGGCGCCGCUCUGGGCCGAAACUGACGCUGAGGAGCGAAAGCAUGGGUAGCAAACAGGAUUAGAUACCCCCGUAGUCCCUGAGCGGGCUGGCAAGGCGCAU